rnacentral:rRNA from 1 species
GACGAACGCUGGCGGCGUGCUUAACACAUGCAAGUCGAACGAUGAACCCGGAGCUUGCUCUGGGGGAUUAGUGGCGAACGGGUGAGUAACACGUGAGUAACCUGCCCUGGACUCUGGGAUAAGCGUUGGAAACGACGUCUAAUACCGGAUAGGACCUUGGAUCGCAUGAUCUGGGGUGGAAAGUUUUUUCGGUCUGGGAUGGACUCGCGGCCUCUCAGCUUGUUGGUGAGGUAAUGGCGCACCCAGGCGUCGACGGGUAGCCGGCCUGAGAGGGUGACCGGCCACACUGGGACUUAGACACGGCCCAGACUCCUGCGGGAGGCAGCCGUGGGGAAUAUGGCACAAGGGGCGAAAGCCUGAGGCAGCAACGCCGCGUGCGAGAUUACGGCCUUCUGAUUGGAAACCGCUAUUAGUAGGAAAGAAUGGCUACGGCUUGACGGUACCUGCAGAAAAAGGACCGGCUAACUACGUG